CCAGAGAACUUUCCAGAGAUGGAUUGGUGCCUUCGGGAACUCUGAGACAGGUGCUGCAUGGCUGUCGUCAGCUCGUGUUGUGAAAUGUUGGGUUAAGUCCCGCAACGAGCGCAACCCUUUAUCCUUUGUUGCCAGCGGUUAGCCGGGAACUCAAAGGAGACUGCCAGUGAUAAACUGGAGGAAGGUGGGGAUGACGUCAAGUCAUCAUGGCCCUUACGAGUAGGGCUACACACGUGCUACAAUGGCGCAUACAAAGAGAAGCGACCUCGCGAGAGCAAGCGGACCUCAUAAAGUGCGUCGUAGUCCGGAUUGGAGUCUGCAACUCGACUCCAUGAAGUCGGAAUCGCUAGUAAUCGUGGAUCAGAAUGCCACGGUGAAUACGUUCCCGGGCCUUGUACACACCGCCCGUCACACCAUGGGAGUGGGUUGCAAAAGAAGUAGGUAGCUUAACCUUCGGGAGGGCGCUUACCACUUUGUGAUUCAUGACUGGGGUGAAGUCGUAACAAGGUAGGCGUAGUGCU
rnacentral:rRNA from 1 species